rnacentral:lncRNA from 1 species
GUUCAACUGGCAGAGCCUUGGGCGAGAUUUCGUGCGAGCAGACGGAGCAGCCGUUGAGGUCCUGGUGAACCAUGGCCGGAGCUGGAACAGAGAGGUAGGGAGGAGGAGAUGAGGGGGACAAGGAAGGCGUCACGCUGGGAAGGAGAUACGGAGGAGGUUAAGGGGAUCGUGGAGUACGUGGAGUUGCCGGUGGAGGCCAAGGUGUACGUCAGCAACCUGCCCUAUGACGUCAACCGCGAGCACAGGUCUCCCUCUUAGCUUGCUACUUCUUUGCUGCUGCCGACAGUUAGCUGCUCCUCUGUAUGCACACACACAUUUUGGAAUUGAGAGAGAAUUACAUGAAGCGAUCUGGUCUGAAUUCUACUGCUCCGAAUUUCAUAUGUUCAUCAACUGGGAAAUCUAAAAGUGGCAAAGGUUUAUCUAUAUCCGUUUAAGUUAUUUACACUAUAUUGAGAAAGUGUCUGCUAUGUAAACUGAGCAACUAUAUUUAGAAAGAUUCACCAUUGCUAUAGCAUGGACAUAUCUUGAUGUGGUAUCCAUCUUUUUAUGAUUCUUUUAUUUUUUAUGACUAUCGUUUCUUUGAAUUCUUGUUAUUUUGUAUUUGUUUGCAGGAUACGACAUGGUGUAUCUUGCCCAGUACAUAUCGAUGCAACUUAAGAAAAGAUCAGUCGGUCUGUAGCAAGAAUUGGUAGUAUGGAAGUUGUAAUUUUUUAGAUGCUCUGAUGCAAGCUGUAGCAACAGGGAUUUUACAUGAAUAUGUUGGUAUAAUUAUUAUGGUAAAUGUACAAAAAGGGGAAUCUCUCUCCAAAAUGUCUAAUAGCUAGGCCUUAGACCUUCAGAGAAAGAUUCAAGGAAGAUAAUGGACAAGUACAUUGGUAUGAACAGAAAUAUGAUUGGGUCAUUGAUUUUAAUAGAAAGUGCAUACAAAUUAUCAGUUUUCCUGGUAAGCUGUACUAUUAUGCUACAGAAUACACAUAAUUGGUUACAGAUCAGUGGGCUACACAUCAGGUUAGUUUUCUUCUACUGUCUCAUGCCAUUUUUAUUGUUAAGAAA